GACACUUUGGCCGAGUGGUUAAGGCGAUGCCCUGCUAUUUGCUUAGCUAAGGCAUUGGGGUUUCCCCGCGUGUGUUCGAAUCGCACAGGUGUCG